UAAAAUGGGAGGUAAAUUUCUCCUAAGGCUAAAUAACGGCGAGAGACCGAUAGCGAACAAGUACCGUGAGGGAAAGAUGAAAAGAACUUUGAAAAGAGAGUUAAACAGUACGUGAAAUUGUUGAAAGGGAAACGAUUGAAGCCAGUCGUACCUUCGGGUAAUCAGCCUUUCGGGUGCGAUUCUGUGGAGUGUGAGGAGCUUAACACCUUCAUGCUUUGCAUAUUUGUGCUCUUGGGUGUACUUGCCCGUGUGGUAGGUUAACAUCAAUUUUGAUUAUCAUAAAAUGACUGGAGGAAUGUAGCUUCGAUCUCGUAUUGAAGUGUUAUAGCCUUUGGUAGAUGUGAUGAUCGAGAUUGAGGAUUGCAACGGAUACCCUUCGGGGCUACCUGUCUGGUCUCUGAUCGUUGCUCUGGUGCCGAAAGCGUGCUUACGGUUAUCAAAGUCGAUGGUCAAUAGGUUAGAACGGGUUAA
rnacentral:rRNA from 1 species